GAUGAACGCUGGCGGCGUGCCUAAUACAUGCAAGUCGAGCGAACGGACGAGAAGCUUGCUUUUCUGAUGUUAGCGGCGGACGGGUGAGUAACACGUGGAUAACCUACCUAUAAGACUGGGAUAACUUCGGGAAACCGGAGCUAAUACCGGAUAAUAUUUUGAACCGCAUGGUUCAAAAGUGAAAGACAGUCUUGCUGUCACUUAUAGAUGGAUCCGCGCUGCAUUAGCUAGUUGGUAAGGUAACGGCUUACCAAGGCAACGAUGCAUAGCCGACCUGAGAGGGUGAUAGGCCACACUGGAACGGAGACACGGUCCAGACUCCUACGGGAGGCAGCAGUAGGGAACCUUCCGCAAUGGGCGAAAGCCUGACGGAGCAACGCCGCGUGAGUGAUGAAGGUCUUCGGAUCGUAAAACUCUGUUAUUAGGGAAGAACAUAUGUGUAAGUAACUGUGCACAUCUUGACGGUACCUAAUCAGAAAGCCACGGCUAACUACGUG
rnacentral:rRNA from 1 species